ensembl:lncRNA
GCCUCGGCGAGCAAGGGGCGGACGUCCGGCCCGUAGUCGCGGUGACCAAAGUUUCUACAGAGGGGAGAGUGCAACAAAACAGCUUGUUUUCCUAAAAUUCAGAGGCUGAGCUAAUCUGGACCCCACGAGAUCGCAAACUGUCUUCGGGAUAGACCAGGGUCUCGGCUUGGCGUCACCAUCUGUGAAUCCAUUUGGUCCACACACCCACUGUAUGAAUACACAUUUCCAAACCAAAGCAGCUUUGGGAAAAGAAAAAAAAAAAACAAAAAAACAACAACAACAAUAACAAACUGAUAGAAUGGGCAAACAAGGAUUCUCAGACACUGUAAACAGAAAUCAUCCAUGCACCAUUGUGAAGGAUCCACUGUCUACAUGUGGGAGUUGUCUGCUUUACCACACUGUGGCAAGGAAAUGGCCUCCUAAGCAAAGAACAAAUGACUGUGGUUCCUGAGCAAGAAGCUCCUUCCUCCUUCAAGUAUGUCCUAAAGCAUAAAUGAACGGGAACAGAAACUUUAGGCACUGUUAUAUACAUUUUUUUAAAAAGUCUUAACAAUGUAAACUGAUGCAGACAGGCCUGUGCCUUGGUGACUGUCUACCUGAGAUAAAGGCAGCAGGCAGCAGGAGGCUGAUGGAGGAUUAGGUGUGUAUGUGUGCAGACCUAUAGAACCCACUGAGGAAGCAGCUGGGUCCCGGUGUCUCCCCAGUCCUGUGUGCUGGCUCAGGCGGCUGACUUCUCUCUCAUCCCUCUUUUGGUUACUAUCUGUUCUCCACUUGUGGUCCUUGGAGGCAGACAUCUUCAGUCACUUGACACAUCAACUCUCCUAAUCACUGUGUUUCCAAUGAGUAGAUAUAAGGUGAUAACCAUUUCUGAGUAUUGAUUUCCUUUGAUGAAGACUCAACUUCACAGAUUAAAGAUGUCUGUGGCUCAAAGAACAUUUUCCCACUGCUCCUACAUUAAACAAUGUAUUAAUAACUGGGUGGAGAUGAGAAAAAUGUUGAAAGCUUUUGAAAAACUUGAACUUAGAAACAGAAAAACUAGAAAUGGCCCCGAAAACCAAAAGAUCUCAUUAUCAUAAAGGAGAAAACCCUUUCAUUCUCAGGCAUGCAGGCAAUGGGC